rnacentral:lncRNA from 1 species
UUAAUACAACAGUCAGUCAAGAGCUCGCCUCCCAAUGUAAGCCAAUCAGAGGUGAUGGGAGGGCGCCUUCCUCGAGCUUGUUCUUGAAUUGGGGCCUCACUGGGGGAAGUGAGUAGCUAGUGGCAGCAGCUGCUGAACUGUGCGCAGCCGAGAAAGUGGGGGUCCGAUCUGCUGGCAGCAGCUCAAGCUGGUGAGAAGAGGGCGAAGGUCCGAGGUGCCUUUGUCAACUCUACUUCUGAGGUGAAUCAGGUGCCAUCUCUCUCCCAGGAUCUGAGACCUUGGAAUCCUGUGGGAUAGUGGCUGAUGGCAUUUGAGGGGAUGGCAGAAACAGUGGGCACAACCAUAUGUAUUCUGAAAGGUGUCAUGGAUCCCAAAGGCCAUUUGUGGAAGGACUUUUCCCUGGAGGUGCAGCCCACAGAUACAUACAGGGCACCCCAAUCCACUUGGGGCUUCUAACUGCUGAAACCAGUGCUAGUGCUCAAACCCGGGGCCUCAAGAACACCAGGCAAAUGCUCAACCGCACUCCUAACCUGUCUAAUACAUUUUUGUUUUGUUUUGUUUUGUUUGUUUGUUGGUACCAGGGAUCGAACUCUGGACCUUGCGCUUUUGAGGCAGGCAGUGGAACCACUGAGCUAAAUCCCCGGCUUGUCCAGUACAUUUUUUGAAGGCCAAUUAUGCCCCUGGGCUAAAAUCAGUGAUUUGUUUUAUCUCAGUUGAUCCUACAACCUGCUCUUUUCCGGGUGAGAGGGUGGGCUGUAGUCCAUAGGAUGAACCCCUGAAUAGCCAGUUCUGCAGCUUCCCUGGAGGUGGAUGGAUUAACCCUCAAGCCACAUACACGGGCAUGUUGUCUGUCUCUGCCAGUGGUGCUGGGCUCGAGAGGGCAGGGCUGGCUUCUCGGGGAUGCCUUUGGGGAGCCAGCCAUGCCCACUGAGCUAAGCUGGGCCCCACUUGGUCCAACUCCUCUAGGCAUCGGGGCUUGAAAUAGCAGCCGCUCAAGAGCUGACAAUCAAAGGCCAGCUAAAAAAAGGCCCCUCAGUCUGGGCUCUGUCUCACACGGCUUGUAGGACCUAUUUUAGGGGCGAGAGUGCCGACGUGCCAAUGGAAAAUCCAUGGGGUGGGAGUCUCCAAGGUGGGGACCCCGAGUAUGUGCACGCACAUAUGUGUGGACACACAAACGUACAAGUUGCAGCUCUUAGCCCACCUUCCUGGCCAUUGGACCCUUUCAUCCCUACCACAGCUAGGGAUAAGGAAACUGAAACCCAGAGAAGGGAAGUGAAUUGUCUGAGGUCAGUCAUCUAGGAGGGCAGGACCAUGGCCAGACUGAGCUUCUGUGGCCCCCAGUCCAGAGCUCUUCCCAGGAGGCAACCUUCACUGAGGAAGCCAACAAACAUGUCAUCCUUGGAGAGUCAAAGGCUAAGAGAUGGGGGCAAUGGUGAUGUUUUGGGUUGGAGUGGGUAGGAGCCGAGAAAGACAACUGGGAAGAAAUCCCACUAGAAGCCCCCAGGCCACUUCCUAUGAGACCCGGCAUGGCUGUAGGAGAGGUAACUAGAGCAGGGCCUCAACUAGAGCCCAGUCCCCAGCCCACUGGAUGACCACUCAUGCCUGUCCUGCCUGGGCCCUGAGACACUGGCAGCUCUUGCCAAAUUUCCAGGGAAUGUGUCAGAUAAGGGGCCAAUGCUCAUGACUUUCUCCCAUCCUGCCACUAUCUCUGACCCUACUGCCGUGACCAAGUGGGUAAGAAUAGCAACAGCCAUGGUGAGUGGGCACCCACAGGGCCAUCACAACUUGGGACAACACAGCAACGCUUUCAAGAAGGCAGAUGUGGCUUUCAGAUGAAAGGCGAGUCUCAGGGUCCUCCUCCCUAUCAGUGCCAGCCCUGCCUGGCUCUCUGUCCUCCUGAGCCCCAAGUCCCAGCACAUGGAAUGGUAAAUAGCAAACCUCAGUGCUGCCCCUGGUGUCUCUGGGGAGGGAUCUGAGAAGACCACAUCAUCUUGUGGACCUUGACCUAGGCCUGAGCCCUGCCCUCCACAGAGGGGUUGUGGGACCUGGAGCUAACUCUAUCCCCUCCAGGCUCAUAAGCCAGACACGCUCCACAAGAGCUCCCCGAAGCAAGGGAGACAGCCAGCUGAAGCCUCUC